rnacentral:pre_miRNA from 1 species
AAAGUACUCCCUCCGUCCGAAAAUACUUGUCCUAGAAAUGGAUAUAUCUAGACUUAUUUUAGUUAUGGAUACAUCCAUUUUAUCAAUUUCUAGGACAAGUAUUUUCGGACGGAGGGAGUAUAAU